GUGGAAACUACAUAUACAAGCAAAAUUCUACUUAGAUAUAUGAACUUGUACGAAUAGAUAAAACUACAAGCAAAGACGUCUAUUUAAACAAAAGUCCAAUUUCUGUCGCAUUGGGUCCCACUUUAAUCAACGUCCAGCGUUCAGAAUCUCAUUGGGCGAAUGUCGAACAUACGACGAGAUAUCCACGCAUCGUUCGAUCAAACAGCACGAGUUACCUUUGCACGGGCAUCCUCCUUUCACGACGAGGCGUUCGAUAAGACGACCAUGGCACACGGUUAACAAGCAGUCCGUUAUCAGCGACGGCUGCAACCGGCUGACGGUGUCACCAGCCGGAAGAUUAUCGUGCACAAAGCCUGACAACGGAAUCAGAUAACUCUGACUGACACAUUUCUCAACGAACGUAUUGUAAG
rnacentral:misc_RNA from 1 species